UUCUGAAGCGACAUUUGCACUGUUUUGUGUUUUUUGUAUCUCACACCCUCAUAUAUCUUUUUCGUAAGAGCAUCCCUUAUCUAUGAUGGAGCGUUUGAUCAGAUGAAAAUAUGAAGCUGGUUUUAAAUUAAAAGUCGUUGAAGUGGCGAAUGAAAUUGUAACUGCGCUGCUGCAACAAAAUUCGAUGUGUCCGAGAAACUGAUGCGAGAUUGGAGGAGGUAAGAAGAUGUAAAAAAAAAAAAAAAUGAAG